rnacentral:rRNA from 1 species
GAUGAACGCUGGCGGCGUGCCUAAUACAUGCAAGUCGAGCGAACAGACGAGGAGCUUGCUCCUCUGAUGUUAGCGGCGGACGGGUGAGUAACACGUGGAUAACCUACCUAUAAGACUGGGAUAACUUCGGGAAACCGGAGCUAAUACCGGAUAACAUGUUGAACCGCAUGGUUCAACAGUGAAAGACGGUCUUGCUGUCACUUAUAGAUGGAUCCGCGCCGCAUUAGCUAGUUGGUAAGGUAACGGCUUACCAAGGCAACGAUGCGUAGCCGACCUGAGAGGGUGAUCGGCCACACUGGAACUGAGACACGGUCCAGACUACUACGGGAGGCAGCAGUAGGGAAUCUUCCGCAAUGGGCGAAAGCCUGACGGAGCAACGCCGCGUGAGUGAAGAAGGUCUUCGGAUCGUAAAACUCUGUUAUUAGGGAAGAACAAAUGUGUAAGUAGCUAUGCACGUCUUGACGGUACCUAAUCAGAAAGCCACGGCUAACUACGUG